rnacentral:rRNA from 1 species
GACGAACGCUGGCGGCGUGCUUAACACAUGCAAGUCGAACGGAAAGGCCCUGCUUUUGUGGGGUGCUCGAGUGGCGAACGGGUGAGUAACACGUGAGUAACCUGCCCUUGACUUUGGGAUAACUUCAGGAAACUGGGGCUAAUACCGGAUAGGAGCUCCUGCUGCAUGGUGGGGGUUGGAAAGUUUCGGCGGUUGGGGAUGGACUCGCGGCUUAUCAGCUUGUUGGUGGGGUAGUGGCUUACCAAGGCUUUGACGGUUAGCCGGCCUGAGAGGGUGACCGGCCACAUUGGGACUGAGAUACGGCCCAGACUCCUACGGGAGGCAGCAGUGGGGAAUAUUGCACAAUGGGCGGAAGCCUGAUGCAGCAACGCCGCGUGCGGGAUGACGGCCUUCGGGUUGUAAACCGCUGUCGCCUGUGACGAAGCGUGAGUGACGGUAAUGGGUAAAGAAGCACCGGCUAACUACGUG